UAUCUAUCUAUCUAUCUAUCUAUCUAUCUAUCUAUCUAUCUAUCUAUCUAUCUAUCUAUCUAUCUAUCUAUCUAUCUAUCUAUCUAUCUAUCUAUCUAUCUAUCUAUCUAUCUAUCUAUCUAUCUAUCUGUCUAUCUAUCUAUCUAUCUAUCUAUCUAUCUAUCUUAGGGCUGCACAAUUAAAGUCAAAUUUAUAAUUGUGAUUACAAUUACAGAUGCCACAAUUACAUAAUCGUUCAAAGCGGCAAUUAAUCCUUCAAAGUCCACUUUUAAUUCUGAGUACUUAAGAUGUGUUUUGAUCUGUCUGUCUGUCUGAUAAUAUAUAUCUCAUUCUAUCAUUCUAUUUAUCCUCUCUAUCUCUCUCUCUCUCUCUCUAAGCUGGUCUGGAUGAGGUCACUGACCUGGUCAAGUUGUUAAUGGAGGUCGUUCUGGAAACUUUUGCUUUGUUCCGCACAGGAAUGCAAGUUUUCACCACUUUCUCUCUCCCUCUUUCCCUGUUUGUUCUCUGUAUCUCUUUCUUACUCUCUUGCUGUCUCACUCUCUCUUUUCCCUCUUGAAUUAGGGCACAUUUUAGUGGCAGUGACAUUUGAAAGACUUCAAAGGCAAUGCUCUGUGUCAGCUGUUAAGUUCAUUUGAGUGUGUGAAGUCUGUCAGAUUGUUUUUCACGCAUACCUCUGAGUUUAGCUGGUCGCUUUCAAAACUAUCCGCAUUGUCUUAAUGUGUGACAAGGCACGUGUUCGUGUGUGUACCUGCAUAUGCAUGUGCAGGAAUGAGUGUGGCAAUGAUUCUUUGUACCCUGCAGGCAAUAUAUCUGCCUGCCACUCCCUGUGCAAGGGCAGGGUUUCUUCACUCUUUCCCUCUCUUUCUUUCUCUCGCUCUCUUUUCCUCUCCCCCUUGGGGAGGAGCUCUGACCUGUCAUUCUCAAGUCCACACAGGUGAGGGUGCUGCUAAAGGAAUGUGCAGAGAGCGAACGAGCAGAGGACAGAGGGAAAGGUGGAGCGACCUUGUUACCUCACAAAGUCAGAGAAAGAAAGGAAGGGUGUUGCCUGCAACCCACCUGAACAGCUUGAGCACAGGAGGAGGGACCAGACACACAUUCACUCUUAAACACAAGUCGUAUCUGGGGGGAAUAUUCAGUCGAUUUUGCACAGCACCAAGAGGGUUAAUCAUUGGACACAAGGGAGAGAAUUAAGGAUUUUCUUUUAGAGAGCUUUGCUGAUUCUGGUUGGACUCUGGGACUUGGAUUGGGAAACAACAAACUAAGAGGUUUGUGAGAUCAACAGUCUUUUAGUAAAGACUCACAGUCAUGCAUGUAUUUUGUUAGGCUCUUUUUUAUCUCUGUACUUUCCUCUUCCUCUUUACUUGCUUGUCUCUUUUUGUUUGUUGUAUGUUUCAGCUGAUGUUUGUGGCUGGCGAAAAAAUGAAUAGAAUUCUUUGAAUCAGUUUGCUUUAGGUCUUUAAAGUUUGCCCACUACUGUUCAGCUGUUUCUGUUUUUCAUCUUCUAAAAAUAUUCCAGUAAAUCUUUAUAAAGUGAGUGGCUGUAUGUCACGUCACUCACUUUAUGAAUAUUUGAGAGUGUUUGGCUGUUGGUUGUUUUGCCUUUUGCAAAAGAGAGUCUGAAGCUCUGAAGCAGCAUUCAUUUGAAGUUGUUAAUUUUUAUUUGAAUAUUAUGCAUUAUGUCCAGCAAUUCAUAUUUGUGUCUGGAUCAUUCUGUAUAUAUUGUGACUAUUAGUUUUGUUGAUUGUAUUUUAAUGUCAGUAUUAUUCUCAGAUGAAUUCACAUUUAGACAAAUUAGUAUUUAGCUUUGCCGAGAAAAUUAGCUUUAAAAAAGUUGUUCCUUAAAGUUUCAAAAGAUGCAAAAAGUGCAGUGUGAAGAAAUGACAAGUCUUAUUAAAAUGCUUCAUUUGCCACAAGAAAAUGUCAAGUACAAAAAAAUGUCUAAUAGGCUAUAUUUGUAGGUACUUCUGGGUUCUGUUUUUUUUUUCUCUGUGUAUGACUAAACAUGAUUUAUAUGCCCAGGUUAGCAUAGGCCAGAUCAGGUUCACAAUAGCAUGCUAAGGUCUGUUCAGGUCUCAGGCACAGUGAUAUUUAUAUACGAUUGAGUUUUCUUGCAUCCGGGAGUGAAAUUCCAGUGAUUUUGGUCAAAAUAUGAACUUGAGCAGUUAUAUGUGAAUGUAAAGUUAAUGGAUGUGCCAACAUUUAAAACAUCCUGUUUUGAGGGGGAAAAGUAUUGUUUUGUAUAAUUUGGGGGUUAGUUUUUGGUUGGAUAAAAUUUGCAAGGCUUUCAAUUUAACAUGAUAAUUUAGUACACUUAUUUUAAUAAAACUGAACAAAAUGCAGGGCUUCGAAAUUCA
ensembl:lncRNA